CAGCCUCCCGCUCCGCGCCCGUCCCGCCCGGCUCUCGUCGGCCCCGGCCCCGCCGCCGCCCCGGGGCCGCCCGGCCGCUGCCCCCGCCCCGCUCACCUGCGGCGGCUCCGCCGGGACCCCCCGCCCGUCCCGGCCCGGCCGCGGCCUCGCUGCAGCGGCGGCACCGGAAACCGACCGGCCGGACGGGCCCCGCCCGCCCUGACGUCAAUGCGCCUCGCUCUCGCCCGGGCCCGUCGCCGCGGGAAACAAGUAUUCCGUUGUGCUUGAUGCAAUCCCUGCUGGAGUCCUGGAGCCAGGAGAGCGAGGAGGGGAACAGAACCAGCUUCCAGGAGGAGUCUUGUGAAGGCACUGGACACAGCUUCCCCCAGGCUGUGGCUGCUGGAGAGCAGAGGAGAGCUCAGGGGGAAAGAGUGUGUGAGCCAAGGUGGGAAAUAGGAGCACAGACGUCACCCACCCCUGCUGCGUGCGUGGAACAGAAAGAGCUGCUUGAAAGGUCAGUGGCAGAUAAAUUAACAGUGCCUGUGGGGAGCUGAGGUGCUGCACGGGAGCUGCAGUGCCAGGGGCUUCCACUGAAGGUACCACCCAACUCUGGACCAUGUUCUGUGAGGUGCCACAGUCCUGGAGCAGCCUCUGGGGUUGAAACCAAAUGAAUAAAAAAAAGUGGCAGAUUGAAGCA
rnacentral:lncRNA from 1 species